AUCACCUACGGGGGGCAGCAGUAGGGAAUCUUCCACAAUGGACGAAAGUCUGAUGGAGCAACGCCGCGUGAGUGAAGAAGGGUUUCGGCUCGUAAAGCUCUGUUGGUAGUGAAGAAGGAUAGAGGUAGUAACUGGCCUUUAUUUGACGGUAAUUACUUAGAAAGUCACGGCUAACUACGUGCCAGCAGCCGCGGUAAUACGUAGGUGGCAAGCGUUGUCCGGAUUUAUUGGGCGUAAAGCGAGUGCAGGCGGUGUAAUAAGGCUGAUGUGAAAACCUUCUGCGUAAACGGGGGA
rnacentral:rRNA from 1 species